GAUCAUGGCUCAGAUUGAACGCUGGCGGCAGGCUUAACACAUGCAAGUCGAACGGUAACAUAAAGAAGCUUGCUUCUUUGAUGACGAGUGGCGGACGGGUGAGUAAUGCUUGGGAAUCUGGCUUAUGGAGGGGGGAUAACUACGGGAAACUGUAGCUAAUACCGCGUAGAAUCGAGAGAUGAAAGUGUGGGACCUUCGGGCCACAUGCCAUAGGAUGAGCCCAAGUGGGAUUAGGUAG
rnacentral:rRNA from 1 species